rfam:Canis lupus familiaris chromosome 31, whole genome shotgun sequence.
CGGGGGAGGCCGGAUCCUGGGCUGUGUCCCGGCGCCCUGUGCUCCGGGGCCUGCGCUGUUGGAUUCGCGCUCCGCCCCGCAGCCCCCU